UUAAGCGACUAAGCGUACACGGUGGAUGCCCUGGCAGUCAGAGGCGAUGAAGGGCGUGCUAAUCUGCGAUAAGCGCCGGUAAGGUGAUAUGAACCGUUAUAACCGGCGAUACCCGAAUGGGGAAACCCAGUGUGACUCGUCACACUAUCAUUAACUGAAUCCAUAGGUUAAUGAGGCGAACCGGGGGAACUGAAACAUCUAAGUACCCCGAGGAAAAGAAAUCAACCGAGAUUCCCCCAGUAGCGGCGAGCGAACGGGGAGGAGCCCAGAGCCUGAAUCAGCAUGUGUGUUAGUGGAAGCGUCUGGAAAGGCGCGCGAUACAGGGUGACAGCCCCGUACACAAAAGCGCAUAUGCUGUGAGCUCGAUGAGUAGGGCGGGACACGUGGUAUCCUGUCUGAAUAUGGGGGGACCAUCCUCCAAGGCUAAAUACUCCUGACUGACCGAUAGUGAACCAGUACCGUGAGGGAAAGGCGAAAAGAACCCCGGCGAGGGGAGUGAAAAAGAACCUGAAACCGUGUACGUACAAGCAGUGGGAGCACCCUUUGGGGUGUGACUGCGUACCUUUUGUAUAAUGGGUCAGCGACUUAUAUUCUGUAGCAAGGUUAACCGAAUAGGGGAGCCGGAGGGAAACCGAGUCUUAAUUGGGCGUUAAGUUGCAGGGUAUAGACCCGAAACCCGGUGAUCUAGCCAUGGGCAGGUUGAAGGUUGGGUAACACUAACUGGAGGACCGAACCGACUAAUGUUGAAAAAUUAGCGGAUGACCUGUGGCUGGGGGUGAAAGGCCAAUCAAACCGGGAGAUAGCUGGUUCUCCCCGAAAGCUAUUUAGGUAGCGCCUCGUGAACUCAUCUCCGGGGGUAGAGCACUGUUUCGGCUAGGGGGCCAUCCCGGCUUACCAACCCGAUGCAAACUGCGAAUACCGGAGAAUGUUAUCACGGGAGACACACGGCGGGUGCUAACGUCCGUCGUGAAGAGGGAAACAACCCAGACCGCCAGCUAAGGUCCCAAAGUCAUGGUUAAGUGGGAAACGAUGUGGGAAGGCCCAGACAGCCAGGAUGUUGGCUUAGAAGCAGCCAUCAUUUAAAGAAAGCGUAAUAGCUCACUGGUCGAGUCGGCCUGCGCGGAAGAUGUAACGGGGCUAAACCAUGCACCGAAGCUGCGGCAGCGACGCUGAUGCGUUGUUGGGUAGGGGAGCGUUCUGUAAGCCUGCGAAGGUGUGUCGUGAGGCAUGCUGGAGGUAUCAGAAGUGCGAAUGCUGACAUAAGUAACGAUAAAGCGGGUGAAAAGCCCGCUCGCCGGAAGACCAAGGGUUCCUGUCCAACGUUAAUCGGGGCAGGGUGAGUCGACCCCUAAGGCGAGGCCGAAAGGCGUAGUCGAUGGGAAACGGGUUAAUAUUCCCGUACUUGGUGUUACUGCGAAGGGGGGACGGAGAAGGCUAUGUUGGCCGGGCGACGGUUGUCCCGGUUUAAGCGUGUAGGCUGGUUUUCCAGGCAAAUCCGGAAAAUCAAGGCUGAGGCGUGACGACGAGGCACUACGGUGCUGAAGCAACAAAUGCCCUGCUUCCAGGAAAAGCCUCUAAGCAUCAGGUAACAUCAAAUCGUACCCCAAACCGACACAGGUGGUCAGGUAGAGAAUACCAAGGCGCUUGAGAGAACUCGGGUGAAGGAACUAGGCAAAAUGGUGCCGUAACUUCGGGAGAAGGCACGCUGACAUGUAGGUGAAGUGAUUUACUCAUGGAGCUGAAGUCAGUCGAAGAUACCAGCUGGCUGCAACUGUUUAUUAAAAACACAGCACUGUGCAAACACGAAAGUGGACGUAUACGGUGUGACGCCUGCCCGGUGCCGGAAGGUUAAUUGAUGGGGUCAGCGCAAGCGAAGCUCCUGAUCGAAGCCCCGGUAAACGGCGGCCGUAACUAUAACGGUCCUAAGGUAGCGAAAUUCCUUGUCGGGUAAGUUCCGACCUGCACGAAUGGCGUAAUGAUGGCCAGGCUGUCUCCACCCGAGACUCAGUGAAAUUGAACUCGCUGUGAAGAUGCAGUGUACCCGCGGCAAGACGGAAAGACCCCGUGAACCUUUACUAUAGCUUGACACUGAACAUUGAGCCUUGAUGUGUAGGAUAGGUGGGAGGCUUUGAAGCGUGGACGCCAGUCUGCGUGGAGCCGACCUUGAAAUACCACCCUUUAAUGUUUGAUGUUCUAACGUGGACCCGUGAUCCGGGUUGCGGACAGUGUCUGGUGGGUAGUUUGACUGGGGCGGUCUCCUCCUAAAGAGUAACGGAGGAGCACGAAGGUUGGCUAAUCCUGGUCGGACAUCAGGAGGUUAGUGCAAUGGCAUAAGCCAGCUUGACUGCGAGCGUGACGGCGCGAGCAGGUGCGAAAGCAGGUCAUAGUGAUCCGGUGGUUCUGAAUGGAAGGGCCAUCGCUCAACGGAUAAAAGGUACUCCGGGGAUAACAGGCUGAUACCGCCCAAGAGUUCAUAUCGACGGCGGUGUUUGGCACCUCGAUGUCGGCUCAUCACAUCCUGGGGCUGAAGUAGGUCCCAAGGGUAUGGCUGUUCGCCAUUUAAAGUGGUACGCGAGCUGGGUUUAGAACGUCGUGAGACAGUUCGGUCCCUAUCUGCCGUGGGCGCUGGAGAACUGAGGGGGGCUGCUCCUAGUACGAGAGGACCGGAGUGGACGCAUCACUGGUGUUCGGGUUGUCAUGCCAAUGGCACUGCCCGGUAGCUAAAUGCGGAAGAGAUAAGUGCUGAAAGCAUCUAAGCACGAAACUUGCCCCGAGAUGAGUUCUCCCUGAGACUUUAGGUCUCCUGAAGGAACGUUGAAGACGACGACGUUGAUAGGCCGGGUGUGUAAGCGCAGCGAUGCGUUGAGCUAACCGGUACUAAUGAACCGUGAGGCUUAACCUU
rnacentral:rRNA from 1 species